CAAAAGUGUAUCUUAAUGUUGUUGCAGUUAAAAAGCUCGUAGUUGAACCUCUGGCGUUCCCGCAGUCCCUUCUGGGACUAUACGGGGGCGUCAUCCGCUUGGAAAGGCAUUCUGUGGGAAACCACGUGUGUCGGAACAGGCAUUUUACUUUGAAGAAAUUAGAGUGUUCCAGGCAGGCCUUUGCUUGAAUAUAUCAGCAUGGAAUAAUGGAAUAGGAUUACUCCUUUGGUUUUAGGAGUUUUAAUGAUUAACAGGGACAGUUGGGGGCAUUCGUAUUCAUUUGUCAGAGGUGGAAUUCUUGGAUUAGAUGAAGACGAACUAAUGCGAAAGCAUUUGCCAAGGAUGUUUUCAUUA
rnacentral:rRNA from 1 species